rnacentral:rRNA from 1 species
GAUGAACGCUGGCGGCGUGCCUAAUACAUGCAAGUCGAGCGAACAGACGAGGAGCUUGCUCCUCUGACGUUAGCGGCGGACGGGUGAGUAACACGUGGAUAACCUACCUAUAAGACUGGGAUAACUUCGGGAAACCGGAGCUAAUACCGGAUAAUAUAUUGAACCGCAUGGUUCAAUAGUGAAAGACGGUUUUGCUGUCACUUAUAGAUGGAUCCGCGCCGCAUUAGCUAGUUGGUAAGGUAACGGCUUACCAAGGCAACGAUGCGUAGCCGACCUGAGAGGGUGAUAGGCCACACUGGAACUGAGACACGGUCCAGACUCCUACGGGAGGCAGCAGUAGGGAAUCUUCCGCAAUGGGCGAAAGCUUGACGGAGCAACGCCGCGUGAGUGAUGAAGGUCUUCGGAUCGUAAAACUCUGUUAUUAGGGAAGAACAAAUGUGUAAGUAACUAUGCACGUCUUGACGGCACCUAAUCAGAAAGCCACGGCUAACUACGUG